UACAGAGGUCUCAAGCGUUGUUCGGAUUCAUUGGGCGUAAAGGGUGCGUAGGCGGCGCGGUAAGUCGGGUGUGAAAUCUCGGAGCUUAACUCCGAAACUGCAUUCGAUACUGCGGUGCUUGAGGACUGGAGGGGAGACUGGAAUUCAUGGUGUAGCAGUGAAAUGCGUAGAGAUCAUGAGGAAGACCAGUGGCGAAGGCGGGUCUCUGGACAGUUCCUGACACUGAGGCACGAAGGCCAGGGGAGCAAACGGG
rnacentral:rRNA from 1 species